UACGGAGGAUGCAAGCGUUAUCCGGAAUGAUUGGGCGUAAAGCGUGCGUAGGCGGUUCGUUAAGUUCGUUGUGAAAGCCCCGGGCUCAACCUGGGAAUGGCAAUGGAAACUGGCGGGCUGGAGUAUGGCAGAGGGGGGUGGAAUUCCGCGUGUAGCAGUGAAAUGCGUAGAUAUGCGGAGGAACACCGAUGGCGAAGGCAAUCCCCUGGGCCUGCACUGACGCUCAUGCACGAAAGCGUGGGGAGCAAACAGG
rnacentral:rRNA from 1 species